UACGUAGGGUCCGAGCGUUGUCCGGAAUUAUUGGGCGUAAAGGGCUCGUAGGCGGUCUGUUGCGUCGGGAGUGAAAACUUACAGCUUAACUGUGAGCGUGCUUUCGAUACGGGCAGACUUGAGGCAUUCAGGGGAGAACGGAAUUCCUGGUGUAGCGGUGAAAUGCUUAGAUAUCGUCAAGAACACCUAUAGCGAAGGCAGCUUACUAGGCUGUAACUGACGCUGAGGCACGAAAGUGUGGGGAUCAAACAGG
rnacentral:rRNA from 1 species